rnacentral:rRNA from 1 species
UACGUAGGGGCAAGCGUUGUUCGGAUUCAUUGGGCGUAAAGGGUGUGUAGGUGGCGCCGUAAGUCGGGUGUGAAAUUUCGGAGCUUAACUCCGAAACUGCAUUCGAUACUGCGGUGCUUGAGGACUGGAGAGGAGACUGGAAUUCAUGGUGUAGCAGUGAAAUGCGUAGAGAUCAAUGAGGAAGACCAGUGGCGAAGGCGGGUCUCUGGACAGUUCCUGACACUGAGACACGGAAGGCCAGGGGAGCAAACGGG